GACGAACGCUGGCGGCGUGCUUAACACAUGCAAGUCGAACGGAAAGGCCUCUUUCGGGGGGUACUCGAGUGGCGAACGGGUGAGUAACACGUGAGUAACCUGCCCUUGACUUUGGGAUAACUUCAGGAAACUGGGGCUAAUACCGGAUAGGAGCUCCUGCUGCAUGGUGGGGGUUGGAAAGUUUCGGCGGUUGGGGAUGGACUCGCGGCUUAUCAGCUUGUUGGUGGGGUAGUGGCUUACCAAGGCUUUGACGGGUAGCCGGCCUGAGAGGGUGACCGGCCACAUUGAGACUGAGAUGCGGCCCAGACUCCUACGGGAGGCAGCAGUGGGGAAGAUUGCACAAUGGGUGGAAGCCUGAUGCAGCAGCGCCGUGUGCGGGAUAACGGUCUUCGGGUUGUAAACCGCUUUCGCUCAUGACGAAGCUUUGUGUGACGGUAGUGGGUAAAGAAGCACCGGCUAACUACGUG
rnacentral:rRNA from 1 species